rnacentral:rRNA from 1 species
UACGUAGGGUGCAAGCGUUGUCCGGAAUUAUUGGGCGUAAAGAGCUCGUAGGCGGUCUGUCGCGUCGGCUGUGAAAUCCCGAGGCUCAACCUCGGGUCUGCAGUCGAUACGGGCAGACUAGAGGUAUGCAGGGGAGAACGGAAUUCCUGGUGUAGCGGUGAAAUGCGCAGAUAUCAGGAGGAACACCGGUGGCGAAGGCGGUUGCCUGGAGCUUUGCUGACGCUGAGGCGCGAAAGCGUGGGGAGCGAUCCGG